GAACGAGAGAAUUGCUAGCUUGCUAAUAAUUCUCUAGUGGCGCACGGGUGAGUAACACGUGAGUAACCUGCCCCCGAGAGCGGGAUAGCCCUGGGAAACUGGGAUUAAUACCGCAUAGAAUCGCAAGAUUAAAGCAGCAAUGCGCUUGGGGAUGGGCUCGCGGCCUAUUAGUUAGUUGGUGAGGUAACGGCUCACCAAGGCGAUGACGGGUAGCCGGUCUGAGAGGAUGUCCGGCCACACUGGAACUGAGACACGGUCCAGACACCUACGGGUGGCAGCAGUCGAGAAUCAUUCACAAUGGGGGAAACCCUGAUGGUGCGACGCCGCGUGGGGGAAUGAAGGUCUUCGGAUUGUAAACCCCUGUCAUGUGGGAGCAAAUUAAAAAGAUAGUACCACAAGAGGAAGAGACGGCUAACUCUGUGCCAGCAGCCGCGGUAAUACAGAGGUCUCAAGCGUUGUUCGGAAUCACUGGGCGUAAAGCGUGCGUAGGCUGUUUCGUAAGUCGUGUGUGAAAGGCGCGGGCUCAACCCGCGGACGGCACAUGAUACUGCGAGACUAGAGUAAUGGAGGGGGAACCGGAAUUCUCGGUGUAGCAGUGAAA
rnacentral:rRNA from 1 species